ACCUAAGCUGAGGCCGAUAGGCGUAGGCGAUGGAUAACAGGUUGAUAUUCCUGUACCACCUAAAUUCGUUUUAAGCGAUGGGGGGACGCAGUAGGAUAGGCGAAGCGUGCUGUUGGAGUGCACGUCCAAGCAGUAAGACUGAGUGUUAGGCAAAUCCGGCACUCAUAAGGUCAAGCUGUGAUGGGGAGAGGAAAUUGUUUCCUCGAGUCGUUGAUUUCACACUGCCAAGAAAAGCCUCUAGCUAGAAUAUUAGGUGCCCGUACCGCAAACCGACACAGGUAGUCAAGAUGAGAAUUCUAAGGUGAGCGAGCGAACUCUCGUUAAGGAACUCGGCAAAAUGACCCCGUAACUUCGGGAGAAGGGGUGCUCUCUAGGGUUAACGCCCGGG
rnacentral:rRNA from 1 species